rnacentral:tRNA from 3 species
UGGUCAAGGGGUUAAGACACCGCCUUUUCACGGCGGUAACACGGGUUCGAAUCCCGUACGGACUA